rnacentral:misc_RNA from 1 species
GAACGCACAUUGCGCCCUCUGGUAUUCCGGGGGGCAUGCCUGUUCGAGCGUCAUUUCAAACCUCAAGCUUCUGCUUGGUAUUGGGCGUCGUCCGCUAAGGACGUGCCAGAAACUUGUGGGCGGUGGUGCCGAUCUCCCAGCGUAGUCAAUUCUACCCGCUUCGGAGUUUUAGGUGCCGCCCGCCGGAUAAGCUUAAAUCUAUAUAUGGUUUGACCUCGGAUCAGGUAGGGAUACCCGCUGAACUUAAG